rnacentral:rRNA from 1 species
UAUCUCUGUAGAGUCUGCAUAUCAAUAAGCGGAGGAAAAGAAACUAACUAGGAUUCCCCUCAGUAACGGCGAGUGAAGCGGGAAGAGCUCAAAUUUGAAAUCUUCAAGGUUCUACCUUGACGAAUUGUAGUUUAAAGAAGUGUUUUCUGUUGGAGUUUUGGUAAAAGUUCUUUGGAAUAGGACAUCAUAGAGGGUGAGAAUCCCGUAUUUGACCGUUAUUUUCCAGCUGUGUGAUACACUUUCAAAGAGUCGGAUUGUUUGGGAAUGCAGUCCAAAAUGGGUGGUAAAUUUCAUCUAAAGCUAAAUACUGGCGAGAGACCGAUAGCGAACAAGUACCGUGAGGGAAAGAUGAAAAGAACUUUGAAAAGAGAGUUAAACAGUACGUGAAAUUGUCAAAAGGGAAGCGUUUGACACCAGUGUUGUUUUCUCGAAAAUCAAUUAAAAAAGGCAGGAUUUUGUGUUGUAUUGACUUUAUCAGCUUUCUGCACUCUUUUCUUGUCUUUUUUUAAUGCACUUUUCGUUUAACAAGUCAACAUCAAUUUCUUUUGUUGUAAAAGGGUCAUUGGAAGGUGGCUUUCUUUUCGGAGAAAGUGUUUAUAGCCUUUGGCCUCUGCAAUCGGAGAGAUUGAGGUCUGCAGCGUAGAUCCUUCGGGGUUAGAUACAUUUGUGCUAAGUUAUAGCCUUUCAUAGACAACUUGUUGACUAUGAUCAGUCAUGUAGCUUACUCGCUUAUGCUAUUUUACCUACGCUUAGGAUGUUGAAGAUGUAGCACAUCAU